rnacentral:misc_RNA from 1 species
AAACAAUCUAAAAGAAACAUUUAACCGACAUUGUACAUGGAACAAUCGUGUUACUCCUACGUUUCCUUUCAUUCAAUAGAAUGUCUAUACAGUUUGCAAAAUGUGCUGGUUUGUAAUAUCAAAUAUAAGGUCUUUUUUUCGUUGGAUCGUAUGGUGGUGCUGUUACUACGCAAGCAGAUGUUGCAGCAAAUGUUGCAGCAGAUGUUGCAGCAAAUGUUGCAGCAGAUGUUGCAGCAAAUGUUGCAGCUGCAGAUGUUGCAGCAGAUGUUGCGGCAGGAAUUGUCUACGCACGAAUAAAAUCUACCUACUUGAUACAGAAAAUGUGAAUAUCACAAAUCAGUUCACCGACGCUUUUCGACUAUUUGUUGACAGUAGAAUUAAAACGAAGUUUGUCCACACAUCUAAAGAAUGCGUAAAAGAUUAUCCAAUAGCUUUGUUGUGCAGACGACAAACAGAGAGAGCAGAAGAGGAUAUUGGCUCCGUAUUGAAACAUCUGCAUGCGGAUGAGUUAUACGGACGAACUGUCGUUAUCUGCUUGCACGUUAUCACCGAUACCAGGUACAAACCAACGACGCCGACAUGGAGAAGUAUCACUGAAUUUAAAGAACUUGGAAUCAUUGUAGACUUUGGAUUUAUUGCUAGAAAUACUUUCAAAAAGAUUUACGCUUGCAAUUACAAAGGCAGCAUUAACUCUGAGAAUGCUUUUAAUAGCUUUGUUCGGAAGAUGGGAAAUGUCCAAGAAGAAAACUACAAUUCUAUUUCAAACACACGGGUAGCCGCAGACAGAUGACCAAGCUGCAUUGAUUUGUUGGAUCAACAGUACGGCUUUGGCUCCCUUACAAUUUCUACAUACAUUAAGAAUACGGGACAUAAAGAAUACAAUUUAAGAGUGGUGCAUGUCUAUUUGUGCCACUCUGUUUAACACAAGUUGCAUGAAAAAUGUCGACACUCCUUAGCGGGAUUCAUAGACAUGGUGAUUAAAAUGCCUAUAUGUCGGUCAAGCAGUCAACAAUAGAACUUUUCACUUCACUACAUAUAUUAUAAAUGGCCUCGUUUUUAACAUAAACUUGGAAAUAUG